UACGUAGGUGGCAAGCGUUGUCCGGAAUUAUUGGGCGUAAAGCGCGCGCAGGUGGUUUCUUAAGUCUGAUGUGAAAGCCCACGGCUCAACCGUGGAGGGUCAUUGGAAACUGGGGAACUUGAGUGCAGAAGAGGAAAGUGGAAUUCCAAGUGUAGCGGUGAAAUGCGUAGAUAUCCGGAGGAACACCGGUGGCGAAGGCGGCCAUCUGGACCAGCACUGACACUGAGGCACGAAAGCGUGGGGAGCAAACAGG
rnacentral:rRNA from 1 species